AACGAACGCUGGCGGCAUGCCUAACACAUGCAAGUCGAACGAGACCUUCGGGUCUAGUGGCGCACGGGUGCGUAACGCGUGGGAACCUGCCCUUAGGUUCGGAAUAACUCCCCGAAAGGGGUGCUCAUACCGGAUAAUGUCUUCGGACCAAAGAUUUAUCGCCUUUGGAUGGGCCCGCGUUGGAUUAGCUAGUUGGUAGGGUAAAAGCCUACCAAGGCGACGAUCCAUAGCUGGUCUGAGAGGAUGAUCAGCCACACUGGGACUGAGACACGGCCCAGACUCCUACGGGAGGCAGCAGUGGGGAAUAUUGGACAAUGGGCGAAAGCCUGAUCAAGCAAUGCCGCGUGAGUGAUGAAGGCCUUAGGGUUGUAAAGCUCUUUUACCCGGGAUGAUAAUGACAGUACCGGGAGAAUAAGCUCCGGCUAACUCCGUG
rnacentral:rRNA from 1 species